rnacentral:rRNA from 1 species
CUACGGGUGGCACCAGUCGAGGAUCAUUCGCAAUGCGCGAAAGCGUGACGGUGCGACGCCGCGUGCAGGAUGAAGGCCUUCGGGUUGUAAACUGCUGUCAUGAGGGAGCAACGGUCAGGGUGUUAAUAACACCCAGGCGUGAUAGUACCUCAAGAGGAAGCCACGGCUAACUCUGUGCCAGCAGCCGCGGUAAUACAGAGGCGGCGAGCGUUGUUCGGAUUUACUGGGCGUAAGGGGUGCGUAGGUGGUUCUGCAUGUCGGAUGUGAAAUCUCACUGCUCAACGGUGGAAUGGCAUUCGAAACUGCAGGGCUGGAGUACAGGAGAGGAGAGCGGAAUUCCUGGUGUAGCGGUGAAAUGCGUAGAUAUCAGGAGGAACACCGGUGGCGAAGGCGGCUCUCUGGACUGAUACUGACACUGAGGCACGAAAGCUGGGGGAGCAAACAGGAUUAGAUACCCCGGUAGUC